GCGCACGAUUCUUUGGACUGAGCAGCGGACUGAAAAUCCGCGUGUCGGUGGUUCGAAUCCGCUCUCUGGGCACCA
rnacentral:tRNA from 1 species